rnacentral:rRNA from 1 species
CGGGUGCACUGAUCCAGCCGGGCCUUUCCCUCUGUGGAACCCCAUGGCCUUCACUGGCUGUGGCGGGGAAACAGGACUUUUACUUUGAAAAAAUUAGAGUGCUCCAGGCAGGCCUACGCUCGAAUACAUUAGCAUGGAAUAAUAGAAUAGGACGUGUGGUUCUAUUUUGUUGGUUUCUAGGACCGCCGUAAUGAUUAAUAGGGACAGUCGGGGGCAUCAGUAUUCAAUUGUCAGAGGUGAAAUUCUUGGAUCUAUUGAAGACUAACUACUGCGAAAGCAUUUGCCAAGGAUGUUUUCAUUGAUAAGGAACGAAAGUUAGGGGAUCGAAGACGAUCAGAUACCGUCGUAGUCUUAACUAUAAACUAUGCCGACUAGGGAUCGGACGAUGUUAUUCUUUGACGCGUUCGGCACCUUUCGAGAAAUCAAAGUGCUUGGGCUCCAGGGGGAGUAUGGUCGCAAGGCUGAAACUUAAAGAAAUUGACGGAAGGGCACCACCAGGGGUGGAACCUGCGGCUUAAUUUGACUCAACACGGGGAAACUCACCAGGUCCAGACACAGUGAGGAUUGACAGAUUGAGAGCUCUUUCUUGAUUCUGUGGGUGGUGGUGCAUGGCCGUUCUUAGUUGGUGGAGUGAUUUGUCUGCUUAAUUGCGAUAACGAACGAGACCUUAACCUGCUAAAUAGCCCGUACUGCUUUGGCAGUUCGCCGGCUUCUUAGAGGGACUAUCGG